AAAAGCUUUCUUUAAUUGAAUAAUUGAAUUUAAUUUUUUAGUGCAAAAGCAAAAAUAAAAAUUAGGGACAAGAAGACCCUAUGAAUUUUUAUUAAAUUUUAUAAAACUUUAUAUAAAAUUUAAUUUAAUUGGGGUGAUGGAAAAAGAAUAAAUAUCUUUUUUUUUAAAAAAAAUUGGUUCCGUUUUUAGCGAUUAAAUGAAAAAAAUACUCUAGGGAUAACAGCGUAAUAAUUUUGGAUAGUUCAUAUAGAUAAAAUAGUUUGCGACCUCGAUGUUGGAUUAGGAUUCUUUUUUGGUGAAGAAGUUAAAAAAAGAAGUUUGUUCAACUUAUAAUUUCCUACUUGAUCUGAGUUCAGACCGG
rnacentral:rRNA from 1 species